UACGUAGGGGGCAAGCGUUGUCCGGAAUCAUUGGGCGUAAAGAGCGUGUAGGCGGUCCGGUAAGUCCGCUGUGAAAGUCCAGGGCUCAACCCUGGAAUGCCGGUGGAUACUGCCGGGCUAGAGUCCGGAAGAGGCGAGUGGAAUUCCUGGUGUAGCGGUGAAAUGCGCAGAUAUCAGGAGGAACACCGAUGGCGAAGGCAGCUCGCUGGGACGGUACUGACGCUGAGACGCGAAAGCGUGGGGAUCAAACAGG
rnacentral:rRNA from 1 species